rnacentral:rRNA from 1 species
UACGAAGGGGGCUAGCGUUGCUCGGAAUCACUGGGCGUAAAGCGCACGUAGGCGGAUUGCUAAGUCGAGGGGUGAAAUCCUGGAGCUCAACUCCAGAACUGCCUUUGAUACUGGCGAUCUUGAGUCCGGGAGAGGUGAGUGGAACUGCGAGUGUAGAGGUGAAAUUCGUAGAUAUUCGGAGGAACACCAGUGGCGAAGGCGGCUCACUGGUCCGGUACUGACGCUGAGGUGCGAAAGCGUGGGGAGCAAACAGG